CCAGCAGCCGCGGUAAUUCCAGCUCCAAUAGCGUAUAUUAAAGUUGUUGCAGUUAAAAAGCUCGUAGUUGGAUUUCUGGCAGGGCGCCGAUGCCCGCUUGUUGCGUGUGCAGAGCGCCCUACCAUCCUUCUGUUAACUCUUCAUGGCAUUAACUUGUCGGUUGAGGGCUCAGAUAUUUUACCUUGAGAAAAUUAGAGUGUUUCAGGCAGGCUUGCGCCGGAAUACAUUAGCAUGGAAUAAUAGAAUAGGACUUUUACCUCUUCUGUUGGUCUGGGGGCGAAAGUAAUGAUUAAUAGGGAUAGUUGGGGGCAUUAGUACUUAACUGUCAGAGGUGAAAUUCUCGGAUUUGUUAAAGACUAACUUAUGCGAAAGCAUUUGCCAAGGAUGUUUUCAUUAAUCAAGAACGAAAGU
rnacentral:rRNA from 1 species